UACGGAGGCCCCAAGCGUUGUUCGGAUUUAUUGGGCGUAAAGGGUGCGUAGGCGGCGUGGUAAGUCUGGUGUGAAAGGCGUGGGCUCAACCCGCGGACUGCAUUGGAUACUGCCAUGCUAGAGGACUGGAGAGGAGAAUGGAAUUCACGGUGGAGCAGUGAAAUGCGUAGAUAUCGUGAGGAAGGCCAGUGGCGAAGGCGAUUCUCUGGACAGUACCUGACGCUGAGGCACGAAGGCUGGGGGAGCGAACAGG
rnacentral:rRNA from 1 species